rnacentral:rRNA from 1 species
GAUGAACGCUGGCGGCGUGCCUAAUACAUGCAAGUCGAGCGAACAGACGAGGUGCUUGCUCCUCCGACGUUAGCGGCGGACGGGUGCGUAACACGUGAAUAACCUACCUAUCAGACUGGGAUAACUUCGGGAAAUCGGAGCUAAUACCGGAUAAUAUAUUGAACCGCAUGGUUCCAUCGUUAAAGACGGUUUUGCUGUCACUUAUAGAUGGAUACGCGCCGCAUGAGCUAGUUGGUAAGGUAGCGGCUUACCAAGGCGACGAUGCGUAGCCGACCUGAGAGGGUGGACGGCCACACGGGAACAGAGACACGGCCCAGACUCCUACAGGGAGCAGCAGUAGGGAAUCUUCCGCAAGGGGCGAAAGCCUGACAUAGCAACGCCGCGUGAGUGAUGAAGGUCUUCGGAUCGUAAAACUCUGUUAUUAGUGAAGAACAAAAGUGUAAGUAACUAUGCACAUCUUGACGGUACCUAAUCAGAAAGCCACGGCUAACUACGUG